AACGCGAAGAACCUUACCUAAGCUUGACAUCCUUUUGACCGAUGCCUAAUCGCAUCUUUCCCUUCGGGGACAGAAGUGACAGGUGGUGCAUGGUUGUCGUCAGCUCGUGUCGUGAGAUGUUGGGUUAAGUCCCGCAACGAGCGCAACCCUUGCUUUUAGUUGCCAGCAUUAAGUUGGGCACUCUAGAGGGACUGCCAGGGAUAACCUGGAGGAAGGUGGGGAUGACGUCAAAUCAUCAUGCCCCUUAUGCUUAGGGCUACACACGUGCUACAAUGGGUGGUACAGAGGGCAGCCAAGUCGUGAGGCGGAGCUAAUCCCUUAAAGCCAUUCUCAGUUCGGAUUGUAGGCUGAAACUCGCCUACAUGAAGCUGGAGUUACUAGUAACCGCAGAUCAGAAUGCUGCGGUGAAUGCGUUCCCGGGUCUUGUACACACCG
rnacentral:rRNA from 1 species